rnacentral:lncRNA from 1 species
AUGAAGAAUAUAUCACUGAGAUUAAUGGCCCUGGGUUGCAGCCAAAAGCAUCUCAGAGGUAGAACACUGUUGCAGAUGGUGAUGUUACCAUUUGAAAGUAAGAAGAAAACUAGUAUCUCUUGGGUCACCAAGAGUAAAAAUAGAGAAGAUGCUUACAAACUGCAACACAUAGAGUUUCUUGAAAUCACAGUUUGGGAGUGGAGGAAAAGGCUGCUUAAGUGUUUGGAAAGGGAGACUAAGGAUGAAAUAGAGUGGGGGUAUGAUGCAUUUCCUGACUGUGGUCGGCUUUCCAUGGGUGAAACAGAAAAGUCUUCAAAUAUCCUCACCAACUGCUUUCCUAGAUUUUUCAGCCAGUUACUUGACCAUAUUAGGAAAAGAAAGUUUGACAGCUGCAGUAAGCACACACAUCUGCCAUAUUGAGGUCAAGUGGUACACUGUCAUCUAUCGUAACAGCUGUUGUUGGGGGAUCGUUUCAAGUAUCCGAAGGAUGAAUGGAAUAUAAAUGAUCACUGCAUAAAGUAUAUAAAUUUGGGUUUAUUGGUUUUGAAACUGAUUUCUUAUCCACAUACUCUGUAGUUUUUUUUUUCCUAGUACUCCCAUGAGGCUCAGCAUGAGGUUACAAAGAAAAAAGAAAUCCUCAUCUGAUUAUCUAAAUAUUUAAGAAUGCCGAAAUCUUGCUGGCGUAACAAAUCAGUGCCAGAAAAAAGUCUUGUUAAAUGAACAGUUUCGUGUAUGGUUCCUACUUAAAAUAUAUCACAAUCUGAACUUAAAAUGCACAUAUAAAACUAUAAUAUAUAGUACAUCAUAUAUGUAAUACAAUAUGUGAAAUACAUAAAACAGUAUACUAAUAGGUCAAAUUUUAACGUUAUAUGAUAGGCCUAAUAUUGCUUUAAUAUCAUUUGUAAAGUCUUUCUAGAUCUAUGUUUUUCUCUCUCUAUCUCUAUCUCUAGAUUUGGAUCUCUGUCUCUAGGAUAGACUAAUAUUACCACUUCUAAACAUCUAUCCUGGAAUAUCAGGUCAUCUACAUCUAUGUACUAUGUGUGUGUUGUCACCAUUUUGUUUCUACAAAAACAAUGCUUUUGAUCAAAGUAAACAGAAAGUUUGAGGAGUUCAUAUUAAAAUGGAAAUGUAUAAACACACAUACACAGUCCGGUAGAGCUUGUAAGUGGGUUUGUCCAAUGUGAUUAGACAUAAAGAACAUAUUUUAAGUGAAAGGAAAUUAUUGGUUAUGUGGAAGAGUUACAAAGAUACAGAGAUGUUUUGGGGGCAGCUAUCAAUAAAGGAAGGAUUAUUGUAGGUAAUCAUAUGGUUUGGCAUUGUAUAAUUUUUUCACCAUUUACCAUUCUUUGCUUGUCUGACAUCAUCACAAUCAAUCAUUAAUUUGUGAAGAAAGUUUCCACGAAUAGAAGUCCUCAACACUUAGAAUUUUUGUAACCUGAAUUUUAGUCACAUGUAGGGAGAAGAGAACUUUUAUGACAGGAUGAUGCCAUGUUUGAUUCGCUUUAUGCUAAUUCUAAAAGAAUAGAUCAUUUGAAUCUAUAUCAUAUUUGUGGAGCUCUUGGGAAUAUGCAGAUUAAUAAAGGCCAUGCUACUGAAAGUUACCUUUUGUUUCUGUUGUCUAUCCUCACUCUUCAGUGAUCUUAUCCAGUUCUCUACCUUAAAAGACUACCUAUACACUGAUGACACAAAUGUAUAUCACUGGCCCAGACUUUCCCUUAAACUCCAGGCUUCUUCAUCCAACUGCCGUGAGACAUUUCCUCGGUCAUCUAAAUGUAGAGAAUCAAGCUGUUGAUUUCUUUACCUGUCUCCCUGUUUUCACGGUCUUUCCUAUCUCAAAAAUAAAUAGAUAAAUAAAUAAAUAAAAUUGUUUGUUAAGUUCUAGCAUUUUUAAUGGGCCUCACAUUGCUAUAAUGUUAUUGUAAAGUCUUAGUGAGGACUAAAUUUAUUCAAGAGAGUGUUAUUAGAACAAGAAAAAAUGAAUAGCUUUACUGUCUUCUCUUUUACAGUAGAGCAGAUGU